GAUGAACGCUAGCGGGAGGCCUAACACAUGCAAGCCGAGCGGUAUUGUUUCGUCGGAAAGCCGAGAGCGGAGUAAGGGGGCGUAACACGGGUGCAACCUGCCUUUAUCUGGGGGAAAGGCGUGCGAAAGGAAGAUUAAUACUCCAUAAUAUAUUGAACGGCAUCGUUUAAUAUUGAAAGCUCCGGCGGAUAGAGAUGAGCACGCGCAAGAUUAGCUAGUUGGUGAGGUAACGGCUCACCAAGGCGCUGAUCCUUAGGUGGCCUGAGCGAAUGAUCCCCAACACUGGUGCUGAGCCACCGACCCGACUCCUACGGCACGCAGCAGAGUCGAAUAUUAGUCAAUGGGUGCAAAUCUGGACCAGCCAUCCCGCGUGAAGGCCGACUGCCCUAUGGGUUGUAUACUUCUUUUGUAUAUGGAUAGCCCUUCCAUCCAGAGUGUAGCUGACGGUACUAGACGAAUAAGCACCGGCUAACUCCGUG
rnacentral:rRNA from 1 species